GGGGGCGUCAAGGAUUUCGACGGGGAGGUAGUGGUUCAGGAAGCGAGCCGAGGUACCCGGGCCUCGUUAAACACUGGGACUUAAAAAUAAACGCAAACGAUAAUUUAGCUUUAGCUGCCUAAUAACAGGUAGCCGUCCUACUCGGGAGGCCCACGGCCUGGGAUAGGGCGUCGACAAGUGGGGAACGGGCCUAUGUAAGCUUUGCCAUAGGUCGGCAUCUAUGAAGCUACUGAAGUCUGAAUCCUGUCAGUGGGAGUCAGAUGGAGGGAAUGUCAAAACACUGACUGCGCUCGGAGAUGCCUGGAUGGCUACUCUUUCGGACAGGGGUUCGAUUCCCUCGCCUCCACCA
rnacentral:tmRNA from 1 species